rnacentral:rRNA from 1 species
UGCGGAGGGAUCAUUACCGAGUUUACAACUCCCAAACCCCUGUGAACAUACCUUAUUGUUGCCUCGGCGGAUCAGCCCGCUCCCCGUAAAACGGGACGGCCCGCCAGAGGACCCAAACUCUAUUGUAUUUAGUGUAUCUUCUGAGUAACACAAACAAAUAAAUCAAAACUUUCAACAACGGAUCUCUUGGUUCUGGCAUCGAUGAAGAACGCAGCAAAAUGCGAUAAGUAAUGUGAAUUGCAGAAUUCAGUGAAUCAUCGAAUCUUUGAACGCACAUUGCGCCCGCCAGUAUUCUGGCGGGCAUGCCUGUUCGAGCGUCAUUUCAACCCUCAAACCCCCGGGUUUGGUGUUGGGGAUCGGAUUGCUAGUCAAUCCGUCUCCGAAAUCUAGUGGCGGUCUCGCUGCAGCCUCCAUUGCGUAGUAGCUAACACCUCGCAACUGGAACGCGGCGCGGCCAUGCCGUUAAACACCCAACUUCUGAAUGUUGACCUCGGAUCAGGUAGGAAUACCCGCUGAACUUAAGCAU